rnacentral:rRNA from 1 species
UAGGGAAUCUUCGGCAAUGGGGGGAACCCUGACCGAGCAACGCCGCGUGAGUGAAGAAGGUUUUCGGAUCGUAAAGCUCUGUUGUUAAGGAAGAACGAGUGUGAGAAUGGAAAGUUCAUACUGUGACGGUACUUAACCAGAAAGGGACGGCUAACUACGUGCCAGCAGCCGCGGUAAUACGUAGGUCCCGAGCGUUGUCCGGAUUUAUUGGGCGUAAAGCGAGCGCAGGCGGUUAGAUAAGUCUGAAGUUAAAGGCAGUGGCUCAACCAUUGUAGGCUUUGGAAACUGUUUAACUUGAGUGCAGAAGGGGAGAGUGGAAUUCCAUGUGUAGCGGUGAAAUGCGUAGAUAUAUGGAGGAACACCGGUGGAGAAAGCGGCUCUCUGGUCUGUAACUGACGCUGAGGCUCGAAAGCGUGGGGAGCGAACAGGAUUAGAUACCCUGGUAGUCCACGCCGUAACGAUGAGUGCUAGGUGUUAGGUCCUUUCCGGGACUUAGUGCCGCAGCUAACGCAUUAAGCACUCCGCCUGGGGAGUACGACCGCAAGGUUG